CCACAGAGUCCUAGUCCAAGUAGGACUCUUCACCAAAGUUAUAAUCUAAUUAGACUCUUCAGCCAUCAGAUCUGAUCAAAUCUUCUAAUAUAUGUGAUCCUAUAGGUUCGAACCUAAGCUAAUAGCAUAGGAAUAACUUUCUAUACCAAUCGAUAUAACUAUCUAGCAAUGAUGAUCCGAUGAUCGGAUAGGUCAAAGUGUUACAAAGCAACCUUCUAAAACCUACUGGCGUAUGGUUAUCAUAUAAUUCAUCUCUUUGAUCCAAAUGCUCAAAGUGACUUCGGGUUUCACUAUCAAUCCUAAUUAAGUUGACCACAUUAUAUUUCAAUCUUUCAAAUCUAUCUCAUGGAUUAUCCUGGCCAAGAUUUUGCUAAAUUGAAAUACACUGAUGCAUAUCUCCUACCAAUUCAGAGGGGUCAAUUCCAUCUUGAAUCACAUACUAACUUGAUAAGUAUUUGACUGCACUUAGUAUCCUUCUGUCACUAAGUUAGAAACUCAGAUGUCUAAUACUAAAGUAUAGUGAGUUGCUUACAAGUCACUGUGGUGGUCUCAGAUCGGAGGGACACUUAUAUCCAUAUCCUUCACAAGCUACUCUUGACAAUAGAGUGCUCGGCACAUAGUCACGUUCGAUGCGAAUGUACUCCUACAUUUCAUUUGCAUGUCAUAACAAUAUCUCCACACUCUUUGGUUAAGAGGAUAACCAACUCAUAUGGCACACAAUGAUCUAUAUUUGAUAUCGUUAUCAUCCUAGUAAUAGCGUAUCAUUUGGUCAUGAAUAAUUUAAGGACUUAACAAUAAAUCCUCCUUUGUCGAUUAAUAUAUAUAUCUUAAGGACUUCAUUACAACAUAGGAGUUCAAAGAAAGUCAAUUUGUAAUGAAAAUAUCAAAUAAUUUUUAUUAAUAAAAAUUUAUAUACAGUUU
rnacentral:lncRNA from 1 species